rnacentral:rRNA from 1 species
UACGUAGGGUGCGAGCGUUGUCCGGAAUUAUUGGGCGUAAAGAGCUCGUAGGCGGUCUGUCGCGUCGGCUGUGAAAUCCCGAGGCUCAACCUCGGGUCUGCAGUCGAUACGGGCAAACUAGAGUAUUGCAGGGGAGACUGGAAUUCCUGGUGUAGCGGUGAAAUGCGCAGAUAUCAGGAGGAACACCGGUGGCGAAGGCGGCCCUCUGGACGGUGACUGACGCUGAGACGCGAAAGCUAGGGGAGCGAACGGG